GAGAAAUCCUCGUCAGUAGAGAAAGCUUAAAUUCCUGUUGCAGCCAAACGGAAGCGACAAGCGCAGAAACCCCAUUGGAGAAACCUAAAACCCAACAAAAUUUCACUAACAAGCGGCAUUCGUUUCCCUCCAAACCCAGAGAACAAUGGCGUCAGAGAAGAAGAAAUCGAAAGCUAAACACACACUGAAGGAGGUGAAAACCCUAGGCCAGCAGCUCCUCUCUUCAAGGACUUACGUCAACAAUCUUCCUCUCCUUCUCACCUUCGUCUCCCCAAACUUUCCUCCUCAAUACGUUCUCGAGUCUCUUCUCUCUCUCCAGUCCUUCUUCACUACUCUCCUCCCCUCCCUCUCAUCUUAUUCUUUGAAGAAUACCAAAAAGACGUCGGAG
rnacentral:misc_RNA from 1 species